CGCGGCCUAUCAGCUUGUUGGUGAGGUAACGGCUCACCAAGGCGACGACGGGUAGGGGGUGUGAGAGCAUGGCCCCCGUCACUGGCACUGAGACACUGGCCAGACUCCUGCGGGAGGCUGCAGUCGAGAAUCUUCGGCAAUGGGCGAAGGCCUGACCGAGCGACGCCGCGUGGAGGAUGAAGGCCCUCGGGUUGUAAACUCCUGUUGGGGGGGAUCAAUUUUGAGAAAACCCCUGAGGAAGCACGGGCUAAGUUCGUGCCAGCAGCCGCGGUAAGACGAACCGUGCGAACGUUAUUCGGAAUCACUGGGCUUAAAGAGCACGUAGGCGGCGUCGUAAGUCGGAUGUGAAAUCCCAUCGGCUCAACCGUGGAACUGCAUUCGAUACUGCGAUGCUUGAGGGAGGUAGGGGCACGUGGAACUUCCAGUGGAGCGGUGAAAUGCGUUGAGAUUGGAAGGAACGCCGGUGGCGAAAGCGACGUGCUGGACCUCUUCUGACGCUGAGGCGCGAAAGCCAGGGGAGCAAACGGGAUUAGAUACCCCGGUAGUCCUGGCCCUAAACGAUGGGCACUAGGUUGUGGACUUGACAUGGGUUCACAGCCGAAGCAAAAGUGGUAAGUGCCCCGCCUGGGGAGUACGG
rnacentral:rRNA from 1 species